CCCUUAGAUGUUCUGGGCCGCACACGCGCUACACUGAAGGAGGCAGCGUGUACUCCUGGAUCGAAAGAUUUGGGUAACCCGCGAAUCUCCUUCGUGCUAGGGAUUGAGGUUUGCAAUUAUCCUUCAUGAACGAGGAAUUCCCAGUAAGUGCAAGUCAUAAGCUUGCGCUGACUACGCCCCUGCCCUUUGUACACACCGCCCGUCGCUACUACCGAUUGAAUGAUUUAGUGAGGACUUCGGACUGGGACCGAUGCGGCUUUCGGGCUGCGUCGGUAUUCUGGAAAGAUGUCCAAACUGUAUCAUUUAGAGGAAGUAAAAGUCGUAACA
rnacentral:rRNA from 1 species